AAUGAACGCUGGCGGCGUGCUUAACACAUGCAAGUCGAACGAGGCUGAGGGGGCAACUCCUCAGUUUAGUGGCGGACGGGUGAGUAACACGUGGGUAACCUGCCCGGAAGUGGGGAAUACCUCGGGGAAACUCGAGCUAAUACCGCAUAACAUCUUUAGGACGAUGGUCCUGACGAUCAAAGCGGGGUCGCAAGAUCUCGCGCUACCGGAUGGGCCCGCGCCUGAUUAGCUAGNGGUGGGGUAACGGCUCACCAAGGCUUCGAUCAGUAACCGGCCUGAGAGGGCGAUCGGUCACACCGGAACUGAGACACGGUCCGGACUCCUACGGGAGGCAGCAGUGGGGAAUCUUGCGCAAUGGGCGAAAGCCUGACGCAGCAACGCCGCGUGGA
rnacentral:rRNA from 1 species